rnacentral:rRNA from 1 species
UACGGGGGGGGCAAGCGUUGUUCGGAAUUACUGGGCGUAAAGGGCUCGUAGGUGGCCAACUAAGUCAUACGUGAAAUCCCUCGGCUUAACCGGGGAACUGCGUCUGAUACUGGAUGGCUUGAGGUUGGGAGAGGGAUGCGGAAUUCCAGGUGUAGCGGUGAAAUGCGUAGAUAUCUGGAGGAACACCGGUGGCGAAGGCGGCAUCCUGGACCGGCAUUGACGCUGAUGAGCGAAAGCCAGGGGAGCAAACGGG